AUGGUAACAUGCAGAAAGGAUAUAGAGGUGAAUGGAAUGGAAAAUGCGGGAAACAUGAAAGGUGAUACCCGCGUACAGACUGUUUCAUCUGCUGAGUGCGGCGAGAUGGAGCUUUGGGACACCAAACUACAUAACAUUUCAUAAGAAACACUGAGAAGGAGAGAGACUCCUGACUGAUAUUUUCACAUUAACACCUGUGGUGAACAGUUUGCAAUAAACCAAAACUGAAAAGAGUGUUGUAUUUUGAGUUUUACAUUUUUAACAAAUUUGAAUGGUGAUUGAUUUAUUUUAUUUCUCACUGUAUACCUACCAGUAUUAGAAGUAUUCUCCUUCUGAAAGACCCCUAAGGGCAAACAUGCUUUGGCAUCAGGAAUUAUGCUUUGACUCAGUUGUUCUGAAAUGGUGGGUCAGAACUGUUCUGACAGAGAACUGGGGGGGGGGGGGCUAAAUAAAAAAAAAAAGUUCAAAAAGAACAGCAGUUAUUUAUAACAGAAUUUUUUUUUUUUUUUUUGUAAAAAAAUGUAAAAGUAAAAGUCUUUACUUUACUAAACCCUACCAUCACUGGAAAAAAAGGGUUUUUAAAGGACCUUUAUAUAA
ensembl:lncRNA